rnacentral:rRNA from 1 species
GAUUUCUGGUCAGAUGCGCCUGGCCCGUCACGGUUUCGUGAUGUGUGCUGGGACGCGUCGUCCAUCCUUCUAGUGACACUAUGUUGCUCGUAAUGGGGUGAUAUAGCGUUCGCUAGAUCUUUUACUUUGAAAAAAUUAGAGUGUUUAAAGCAGGCGUUUGCUAUGAAUACAUUAGCAUGGAAUAAUAACUUAGGACUUCGGUUCUAUUUUGUUGGUUUCUAGAAUUGAAGUAAUGAUUGAUAGGGAUAGUUGGGGGUGCUAGUAUUCAGUGGCCAGAGGUGAAAUUCUCGGAUUCACUGAAGACUAACUUCUGCGAAAGCAUU